UGGGGAAUAUUGCACAAUCGGGGGAAACCCUGAUGCAGCGACGCCGCGUGAGCGAUGAAGUAUUUCGGUAUGUAAAGCUCUAUCAGCAGGGAAGAAAAUGACGGUACCUGACUAAGAAGCCCCGGCUAACUACGUGCC
rnacentral:rRNA from 1 species